rnacentral:rRNA from 1 species
CCUACGGGUGGCAGCAGUGAGGAAUAUUGGUCAAUGGGCGCAAGCCUGAACCAGCCAAGCAGCGUGAAGGAUGACUGCCCUACGGGUUGUAAACUUCUUUUAUAAGGGAAUAAAGUGAAGCACGAGUGCCUUUUUGUAUGUACUUUAUGAACAAGGAUCGGCUAACUCCGUGCCAGCAGCCGCGGUAAUACGGAGGAUCCGAGCGUUAUCCGGAUUUAUUGGGUUUAAAGGGAGCGUAGGUGGGUUGUUAAGUAAGUUGUGAAAGUUGUGGGCUCAACCGGAGAAUUGCAAUUGAUACUGGCAGUCUUGAGUACAGUAGAGGUAGGCGGAAUUCGUGGUGUAGCGGUGAAAUGCGUAGAUAGCACGAAGAACACCGAUUGCGAAGGCAGCUUACUGAACUGCCACUGACGCUGAUGCUCGAAAGUGUGGGUAGCAAACAGGAUUAGAUACCCCUGUAGUC